UAGCCUUAGAGCUUUUACUAUCUGCUGCCCUUCUGCAGCUGCAGUGGUGCUCAUGUUGACAGGAAGAAGUGACAAGAUGUGUAGGCAUGGAAGCCAAUGAGGUUCUGAAGGCAAACAGAAGAUCAGCAUUUGAACUGACAGCAGCAAGAGCUUUGAAAUAAUCUGGUUAACUGAAGAGUUUCAAGGGAGGAAAAUCUAUGUGUGUAGGGAAUAUGCUGAAAUGGUUGUGGUGCCAACAGUCUGAAUAGUCCAGGGUCGUAAAUGAAAUUUAUGAGUCAUUGAACAUCUCAGGUGAGUUCUGGUGAUUUGCUGAAAAACACAGCUGUUCUGUAUUUGGGUGCUUUAGGCACAGUACUCCCACUCAGCACUAGCUGUCUGCAUUGUCUAUCUAGUAUCUCUCUGAUUGCCCGUAAGGUUAACAAAUUCAUGACUAGUGAUAUGGUUGCAAAUACAACUGCAAUCCUCAGGCUGUGAAUGAGGUCAGGAUUACAGAUAUGCAUUAGUAAUAGAGUUAGUGAUAAAUCUAAAUGAAGGAAGGCAGACAAAGAAGCAUUUUUAUAUGUAUUUUAUUAAUGAAAUGAUGAGAUAAGAGAGAUGAGUCUGUGACCAUGAGUGGACAAUGAGCAAACUUGUCAACAUGGGAAGACAGAAAGCUUAGCCCUGCAUUAUCCUUCAGGGCAAGCUGAAAGGACAGAACAGGAAACCAUAUUGGAUGCUUUUACUUUCUGCAAGGACAAAAAGACAGUGAAGAAAACUGACAGUUGGAAAAAUGAGAUGAACUACUUAGUAAUUUUCAUCUCUUAAAUAAUUGCCAUGAUGCUAAGAAAAGCUUCUUCUUCAGAUGAGUACCAUCUACAACUGAUUCUUAGACCGACAACCAAGGGCAAUAGAAACCUACAGAACUGUGACUCAUCUUUGAAGAAAUUUUCAGUGCUGAAACCCUACCAAGAUGCUUUUCUCAUAGAAGACACUACUUUGUCCUUUUCACAAAGACAAAUAGAAAUCAACAGUACAUAAGUCAAAAACACGAAUGAAAAAGCAGUAAUUCAACAUUUUGACAUACUUGUCUAAAAAUGAAUAAAAACUCUUUUACUGAGUCAAACCAGUCAGGUAUAGGGAGUGACCAAAACUGAAUACUGAAAAUAAAACAUGAUUUACACACAAGCACACAUAGAUGUGUGGCAUCCCACAACUGGCAUCCCACGUGUGAUGAUCUGCAGCUUAAGGCCUUCCAUGGCCAGAAUGAUAUUUUUUCACCGAAGUGUUUGACUGUCACAAUGCCAGUUACUGGGUAUGACUGAUAUGAUCAGUAGAGAUAAAAGGCAAUGCUGGUGUCUCAUACAGGAGAAUCAGAAACUGAGUAAAGCGGAAAUAUAAUAAAAUCAUAGUAUGGUUGUGGAAGGGAAUGUAUUUGUAGGGCACUUUCUCAUGGAGCUGGUAGACAGGCAAUACCAUCCAUAAAUUCUUCAUUGUAGGAAACAGAAAAUUUCCAGCUGAUGGCAUGGAUGUUCACAGACUACUGAACUGUGUUUUUCUGUUAUUCUGAAUUGGAGAGGAAGAUGGAAGAACAUGUGACUGAGAAAUGUCUAGAAGCAGAUGCCAGGAAGAGUUUGUUUUUUAUAUGCUGCUCCCUUGGCCUUUUUAAAUUGGGAAGGGAUCCCAGAGGUACCCAGCCAUGUAAUCUACAGCAGAGAAAUUGCUCUGAGCCCCAAAACAAAGCUUAAAGCAUAAGAUGUGAAGAUGAACUCAUUUCUUUCCAUACUCACAGGGCUAUUUCUGAGUUAAACUGCACUUCUGUAGGCAGGAGCUGUAAAGGACAUAAGACACAUGAAAUGCCAUCUCAACUGCUUACAGCAACAGUCAGUAUUUUGGAAGCAGGUUGCAAGUCUGCCCACGAUGCUAGUUGGUCCAGGAUUGCCUCCCUUCUCAUUAUCAGGGAUCUUGAGAGGGCAAAAUAGCAAGAGGAAUACAUUUGUUUACACUAAAAAACCUGUCUGAUUUUAGAAUAUUUAAAAUAAGCAAAGAAAACAAGUAGCCAGCAUGUGGCUUCUCCUAUUGAAUUGAAUUGAAUAAUUUACAUCCCACAAAGUCAUAGAAUGGAAAAUAUGUUUUAAAUGGGGUCUUUAGGUUUGCCUUUAA